GGAUGAACGCUGGCGGCGUGCUUAACACAUGCAAGUCGAACGGUGAAGCCCAGCUUGCUGGGUGGAUCAGUGGCGAACGGGUGAGUAACACGUGAGCAACCUGCCCUGGACUCUGGGAUAAGCGCUGGAAACGGCGUCUAAUACUGGAUAUGAGACGUGAUCGCAUGGUCAACGUCUGGAAAGAUUUUUCGGUCUGGGAUGGGCUCGCGGCCUAUCAGCUUGUUGGUGAGGUAAUGGCUCACCAAGGCGUCGACGGGUAGCCGGCCUGAGAGGGUGACCGGCCACACUGGGACUGAGACACGGCCCAGACUCCUACGGGAGGCAGCAGUGGGGAAUAUUGCACAAUGGGCGGAAGCCUGAUGCAGCAACGCCGCGUGAGGGAUGACGGCCUUCGGGUUGUAAACCUCUUUUAGCAAGGAAGAAGCUUUUGUGACGGUACUUGCAGAAAAAGCGCCGGCUAACUACGU
rnacentral:rRNA from 1 species